AGAGUUUGAUCCUGGCUCAGGAUGAACGCUAGCGGCAGGCUUAACACAUGCAAGUCGAGGGGUAUAGUUUUUCGGAACUAGAGACCGGCGCACGGGUGCGUAACGCGUAUGCAAUCUACCUUUUGCAGAGGGAUAGCCCAGAGAAAUUUGGAUUAAUACCUCAUAGUAUGUGAGAAUGGCAUCAUUUUCACAUUAAAGUCACAACGGCAAAAGAUGAGCAUGCGUCCCAUUAGCUAGUUGGUAAGGUAACGGCUUACCAAGGCAACGAUGGGUAGGGGUCCUGAGAGGGAGAUCCCCCACACUGGUACUGAGACACGGACCAGACUCCUACGGGAGGCAGCAGUGAGGAAUAUUGGACAAUGGGCGCAAGCCUGAUCCAGCCAUGCCGCGUGCAGGAUGACGGUCCUAUGGAUUGUAAACUGCUUUUGUACAGGAAGAAACACUGGUUCGUGAACCAGCUUGACGGUACUGUAAGAAUAAGGAUCGGCUAACUCCGUGCCAGCAGCCGCGGUAAUACGGAGGAUCCAAGCGUUAUCCGGAAUCAUUGGGUUUAAAGGGUCCGUAGGCGGUUUAGUAAGUCAGUGGUGAAAGCCCAUCGCUCAACGGUGGAACGGCCAUUGAUACUGCUAGACUUGAAUUAUUAGGAAGUAACUAGAAUAUGUAGUGUAGCGGUGAAAUGCGUAGA
rnacentral:rRNA from 1 species